AGAGUAAUAGUUUCUCUUCUUUUAAUGAUCUUUUAGUAGGAGAAUGGACCAGAUGACCUCUAUAGGUGUCUCUCCACAGGCAGAAAAAUCAAACGCCCAGAGAGGUCAAGAUGUCUGCAAAGAGACACAGAGUGAUGCAAUGGAAAUCCUGUGUGGAGGUCUCCAGAAGGCUAAUUUCUGAAGCAGUGUUCUAUCCACAUGACCGUGCUGCUGCUCAUUAAGAUGGUACCUCUCAUUAAGAUAAAGCAUAAUCAUUAAAAAUCCUUUAGCUUGCUCACAUUAACUACCAUUGUGCGUCACAGGUCUAAUGCUUCAUGAAAGCUCAGAGUGAAUUAGACAUUUUAUUUAAGUGCUACUUAACUAAAAGUUAAAAAGUAUAAUUUUCUAUUGCAGCAUAAGAACUGGAGAGACUAAUUUGGUGUGGUUGUUAAAUUUUACAAAGCCUGAUUCUCAAUUUUCAAAAAAUAUUGUACAUUUAUUUAUUGAAGUGAAUGAAACAUUUGCUAUAAAACUAUUCAACGGAAAGUUUUUUAACAAAGCAUAAUUUACUUUUCAUUUACAGAACAAUGGAAAGUAGAAAGAAAUCUCCUCCAAGGUAUUAGAAUCAUGUACAGUUUCAUAUUUGACUAAAAAAUUAUUUCCCCAGCCUGUUUUCUCAACACUAAGGAUAUGCAGAAAAGUAUCACUUGCAUUCAUCAUGAAAAUUACAGAAAAAUGACUGAAACUACUGAGAACAUUAUUAAAUAAAACAUAUACUUAUUAUCUGUCUU
rnacentral:lncRNA from 1 species